rnacentral:rRNA from 1 species
CAGUCGCCGCGGGAAUACGUAGGGUGCAAGCGUUAAUCGGAAUUACUGGGCGUAAAGCGUGCGCAGGCGGUUCGCUAAGACAGAUGUGAAAUCCCCGGGCUUAACCUGGGAACUGCAUUUGUGACUGGCGGGCUAGAGUGUGUCAGAGGGGGGUAGAAUUCCACGUGUAGCAGUGAAAUGCGUAGAUAUGUGGAGGAAUACCGAUGGCGAAGGCAGCCCCCUGGGAUAACACUGACGCUCAUGCACGAAAGCGUGGGGAGCAAACAGGAUUAGAGACCCCCGUAGUCCCUGUCUCUUAUAC